UGCUGUUGCGGCAGCUGGGGUGGCUGAGAAUAUUGUGGAAGAGAGGCUGGUUGAUAUUGUUGAUGUGAUGGAGCUGCAGGAGGCGGCUGUGGUUGCUGGGUCGGUGGUAGUUGGUAUUGCUGGUUGGGAGCUUCUUGUGCCUGACCAGGUGGUUGAAAGUAGGGCUCUCGCUGUGGGAUGGAAGGAAUCUGGUUCGGAGGGAAUUGACUAGGUAGCUGAGCUGGAGGAGACUGCAUAUUGAGUUGGGGAGGAGGUGGCGGAGCAUUAGGGGGAGGGAGUGCAGGAAGUGUUUGAGGAGUAACAGGUGGAGGAAGUGGUUGGUGAGAUUGCUGAGGAGGAGAUGCUGCUUGCUUUGCAGAAUCUAAG
rnacentral:lncRNA from 1 species